AACGCAUAUGUAGCAGAUGUGGUGAACUCGGGCAUUAUAGAACUAGUUGUAAAGUUAACUUGCAAAGGUACCAUUUUCGUUUAUAUUCAGUUUUAACCCUAUAUAAGUUUAUGAAACUUGAUAGCACAAAGUCAUAUCUCAUGAUUAAUUUGUCAUAUAAUUUGCAGGUAAACAUAUGCACGGGUGGUGGAUGUAUUGGUUUGUUCAAAAAGUCAUUAUCUCAUGAUUAAUGUUCAUCCAAAACUGUUGCUGAUUGUCUUGUAGCUGCUGAUGUAUUACUACAUUUUAUGUAUUAAGACUGAUUGUGUUAAGAUUGAUUGUGCCUUAUAGCUGCUGAUGUGUUAAGACUAAUGUAUUAAGACCGAGUAUGUGUGUGUGUUAUUGGUUAUUUGAUAUGGAUUGUUGUCUUGUAGCUGCUGAUGUAUGUGAAUUGUAUUGUGAAGUUUGUAAGUUUUAAUUC